UCGACUAGAAGAACAAGAGGACUGAUAGAUUUGGGUUUGGUUUGGAGAGUAAACGAUUGCAGUUUUCAAUUGGGCAUGCCUUCUCAGAGUUAUUUUGGCCCUUUGGUUCCUUAGCAUUGUGUGAGUUACCCGAACCAUUGAAUAUAUAAGAAGGAUCUCCACCACUGUUUCAAUUCCAGAAACCUCCAGCCUCCAUCAAGGUCAACAUCUGCUUUUAGCCGAUAACAAGCUUAGACAUGAAAGUCAACAUCAUGAAAGGCUUGCUCCGAAACUCAAGUUUUGGGAGAAAUCUGAAAAAAGAAGGUUGUACUCAUAGCUGAAACAGAGCAGACCCCGUAUCAUGAAGUAUGUGAAAGACCCUUAAUAGUAUGCUUAUAUAAUUUCACGUUGCCCUGCAUUACAUAAAGAGGGGCAAAACUCCGAGGCUCUUAUUCGGAUUAAAAGCGUAGCUCAGUACCUUUAUUUGAGAAGGAACCCAUCCAUGUUCAGAGAUGAGAGUUCUCCGCCAGUCUACUAGUGAUAACCAUUUGGUAUGCC